rnacentral:lncRNA from 1 species
CUUUUUUCUCCUCCCUGGCAACAUAUAGUGAACAUUUAAAUACUAUUCAGUUACUUCUUUAACAUGCUUUUAAGUUUUAUUAUAUAGGUACUAUUGAUACCGUAUUGUACUGUUGUACAAUAAUACUAUUGUACUGUUAUUCUUAAAUACUGUAAAUAAUGCUGUGAUGAACAUUAAGAUAGAUAAAUAUUUGCUCAGAUUCCAGAUUAUUUCCUUAAGGAACAUUCUUCAAGCUGCAAAAUCCAGAUAAAAAGUGUAUUGGCAUUAUUCUUUAAAAGGCAUAUGGACAAAUGAAGUAUGUUCAAAAGACAGUGACUAUUUUAUUUUAUGAAGGGACUAGAAAGGAUACCAUUUGAGAACAGUUGUGGGACAAUAAUUUGAAAAUAGUUGCAAGAGGAAAAAUGGGGAUUCAAACUUCUUCACAUAUUUCAGGGCCUGUUACACAGAGAAGAGGAAUUAUAUGACUCAAAAACAUAAUAUUUAGUACCAAUGGUUUGAAGCCACAGGGAGACAGAUGGUAUGAUGUUGCUACUGGCAGCACUAUUAAAACACGGGGGAGUGGGAGAGGGGCUCACAGGGGAGGGGGCCUGAACUAGGAGGCAUUAUGCAUAGGCCACAAGAACUAUGGUCCAGGGCAUUCAGGAGCUAAGACUGGAUUGGACUCUUCUAACCUUCCGAGUCAAUGAGUUGUCCUAAGCAGAAAGUUUUCUUUAAAAAUUAAUAUGUAAGGGGCGCCUGGGUGGCUCAGUCAGUUAAGCAUAUGCCUUUGCCUCAGGUCAUGAUCUCGGGGUCCUGGAUCGAGUCCUGCCUCGGGCUCGCUGCUCAGCUGGGAGUCUGCUGCUCCCUCUCCCUCUGCCCCUCCCCGCUGUUUGUGCUCUCUCUCUCUCAGAUAAAUAAAACCUUAAAAAAAAUGAAUACUUGAUUAAAUAAUUUUUUUGUUGUUUGUUUCUUUUUUCAUGUUGGUAGAAAUAAUUCACAAGAACUUUUGGAAAAAAAAAAAGAACAACAACAAACCAACCAGACAGCUGCAAAGCUGGGUAAUUUCAGAAUUCAGGGAGAGAACUGUCAGAAGGUCAUCUUGUCAUGCCUGUAGUUCCAGAGGCAGCACCGUCCACAAAGGGUCUUCCCUGAGGCAUCCGGGGUGAAGAGCGGUACCUGACAGAGAGCAGGUGGCCAACAAGUAUUGGUAAGUGAAUAUGAGUAAAUGAAGAAACGAAUAGUGUAAUG